CUAUAAAUCUCCCUUCAGAUCUUGCUUCUUGUGUCCACCUUCGAAAUCUUUUCUUGUAGUGCUAGAGAUCUUUACUCCAAUAACUCACUCACUAUAGAUCGCAAUAUCAUGUCAGGUCGAUUUCGGGUCUUCACGAGUCCUGUGUCGGGUCCAAGUGGUCGCCGGUAAGGGUGGAGACUCGUUGUUGCUCUGAUAUGUCCAAGUUCUCCUUCAUGCUCCCUGUCUCUAUUUAUCUUCCUUGUCUGCUGUUCUGUCUGUGUCAUUCAUGUUCAAGUUGCUGCUGGGUGUGAGAAAUCACAAGGUGUCGAAGCUAGUGGUGAUGUCAUGAGCUUGGUCUGGUGCUGUUGAAGUGAUUUUCUUUCUCCUCUUGCGCUUGGUGCUCAUCUUUCCCUCUCCCCUGUACAGCCAUAAACUUUGACUCCUCCUCCCCUUUUCUCCAUCAUUCACGCUUCAAGGUUUAAUAUCUGUGAUUGAUUUCAUGGCUGCAAGCUGCAUUUGAUGAAGAUGAAUGCAUUGACGUUCUUGAAGAAAAUUACUCAAAAUUUGAGUUUUCAAGAGCUGAUGGUGGAAAAGAAUCAAGAAGAAUGGAUUUGAAGAAUGUCUUGUAUAAAGUUGGGUCAUCAAAAGCAAAAAAUUUAACAGUAAAACAUCAGUUUAUGUUAAUAGUAAGAUAAAAUUGCAC